rnacentral:lncRNA from 1 species
CUCAUGUAGUAGGGUCAUGUACCAUGGUACCUUCCACCCUGUGUUCUCAGCCAUGGUGGUACUGGUGAAGUUAGACUUGUUCUGAUGUCCCUCUCUAGCUGCUCCGGGGUCAUCGCCAUGUAAAGUCCAAAGACGAAAAAUAACCCUGAAGGAAGGAGAGAUGACUAGAAAGAAUCCGGUUGACCGCUUUAUGUGUGGAUUAAUUGUUGGAGUAGAGGACCUUGUGCAUUUCAGGUAAAAUAACAACUCAAUGUUUAUAUCCCAGGACAAAUAAGCUAGCUAAAUUGCCAUAAAUGUUUAAUGCUUUUCGACCUGUCCCCAAAUUAAUAUAAUUGGUUGAGAGUUUGUUUUGAUAUUUCGUGUCAUGAUCGCGUUUGGAGUGAGGGGACAAAAUCAAUUUGCGCACGAUGGCGGAUGCACUCGCGCGUCUGGUUUGGGCAUGGUGUAAUGGUUGUUUAAAUCUAAAAUUAGCUUGACGCGUUUUCGGUUAUCCUACAGACUCAGCGCAUUGCUACAUGGUACUUGAAGGAGAAUUGGAGGUUAAUAAUUUAUUACACUGUUUAGAUUGAGCACAUUUAAACGAAAGCUAAACUUCGUCAUGACGAUAUAAACGGAUGGAUGUGUUCCAGAUGAGGAAGGCCAUCUAUUGGCUGAUUUGGCGGCCUGGAGUGUAGGUCAUUGUUUUAUGAAAUGUGAUCCCAUAUCUCCAGUGACAAUAAUUAUGUAGCUAUGAAGUGUUCUCACACGAUUUCCUGAUUUUCACAACUUGGAAGUUACAUCAUGGGGAAAUGUUGUAUUUUACCCACUGAUAGAACAUAAACAUUCACCAAAUAAACAGGAGUUAUGUUUUUUAUUUCUGGGGGUGGAUUAUCCCUUUAAACUGUAUAGUGGUUAAUCAGUAGCCUUGCCUCAACCUAGUCAAAAUGCGAACCAAGGCAGGGUAAAAGAUGCAUUAUUUGUGUAUGUAGAAAUAAGUAACAAACAAGGACAUAUUUUAAUCUUGAUGAAUGACUAUUUGUAAUUUUACGACAAGCUAAGAUGUUCUUUCCCUUUAGUUUACAAUGUCUGUUCUGCCUCUAGUGACUCAGCUGCCUUCUGAUGUUUAUUAAGUCUGCUAAACUCACUCCAAUUUUCACUGUUAUUGAAAUAUGAAAAACUAUGGCCUUGUCAUUAUUAAUUCAUGUUUGCUUGUUGGUAACUUAGACAGGCAAGGGCCUCCAAGUGGCGCAGCGUCUAAAAAUGCUGACCAGACCGCACGCGCGCAUCUGAGUGCACCAUCGCCCGCAUGUUGAUUUUGUCCCCCCACACCAGAGAUCAGGACAGCAGGUUGAUUUUGUCCCCCCACACCAGAGAUCAAAACACGCAGGUUGAUUUUGUCCCCCCACACCAGAGAUCAGGACAGCAGGUUGAUUUUGUCCCCCCACACCAGAGAUCAGGACAGGAGGUUGAAAUAUCAGAACAAACUCUGAACCAAUUAUAUUAAUUUGGAGACAGGUCGGAAAGCAUUAAACA